CCCCCAGCACGCGAAACCCCUUCCUCUCUCCCUCUCCCUCCCCAUCUCCCAUGGAAGUUUGCACGGACGAAUUUGUCGGACUAUUACUCGUAUGCCACGAAUUUGUCAUCAGCGAGAAUCUCUCGUGUCGGAGGAUCGAAAUACCCGCCGGAGGAGAGGGCAUCAACGAGUGCGGACCACUCUGGCCACGGAUGGGCAGCGAGGGGCAGAGGAGAGGUAGGGGAAAAGUCGAGGGAGUCUCUGUUGUUGUUGUCUUGAUUGGUGGUGGUAGUUUGGGUGUGAAUGCUAGCUUUGGGUUGUACGGGGCGGAUUAAGCAUAGUUGAGGGCGUGGAAAAGGCGAGGGAGUAGAGAGAGAGGAGAGAGGGUGAGGUCGGGAGGCGGCGGCAGGGCAGAGGACGGGAAUGGGGAGGGAGUGGUGAGGAGCAUUGUGAAUGUUGAGGCACCGCCCAUCAGGGUGAUGGAGCAGGGAGUGGAGGAUGGGGUUUACAGAGUAAUUGGGAAUUGUGGAUUGUAAACCUAGACCACCACUUCAAACUUCCAUCGACCGCACACCACAAUAUUCAUGUUUAUCUACUAGGUCUCUGUGAAGAAAAGAUGGAGAAAUCUCUCCUCGGUGGAGAAAGCAAAGGCAGAGGCAGAGGCAGAGGCGGCGGUUGUAGAAGCAGUAACAGGUGCAGAGAUGAGUUGGCGCACUUCCUUUGAAGAUCACCUUAUCAGAAGGCAGCUGCACAUGUUGAUUUGGGGCUGACACAAGGGGACCCGGGUGCCCACGGCCAUGCACAAGUCUAAAUAUUCUCACAUAUUAUCACCAUUUAUCUACUCCUAUUAGGGUUUUGUUUUGUUUUGUUUUGUUUUGUUUUGAGUUAAACAUUGGGCUUACUAUGGAGUUUAAGAAAUCUUGAAGGAAUCUGGUUAGGGGAGGAAAACCUAUUUAUAGAUUUUGAGUAGCUGCUGCCUCACUUUGGUAUGAAUGUUAUUUGGUUGUUUUGCCUCUGUGCUUCUUGAAUUUUGUGUUGAUUAAUCAGUUCGUGUUAAUAUAUUUCUCGAUUUUUCUUCACAGGUUUCUGUCACUGGUUUUUGAUGUUUCCAAAUAUUCUCUACGAACUACAUUUAUUAUGUUAGGCUAUUGGAAAUACUUGAAAGGUGAUUGAAUAAUGUUAGGAUGAUUAUGAUUGAAUAAUUUGGGUAGCAAUUGACAUAUCAAUAAAGAAACCAUGCUUAGGGUGGCUAGAUGUCUUUAUCUGCUCCUUUGUGUUUUUGUUCUUUGAUUAUUUCUUUGUUUUCUGAUACGGUUUCUUCUUCUUCUUUUGGGUCUAGAAUGAUACAUGAUGUUUGUUCGCCAUCCGACCAAAAUAUGGAUACGUUCUCCAUAUUUUCAUUUAUCGCCAACCAAACAACCCGUAAAGAAAAACAAGUACAGGAAGUUUCAAGUUGCUCUGAUUUGUAGAAUCUCUGUG